UCCCAAUGAGGAAGAAAUCCCUUAAAAGAUAGGAAGUGCCGUAUGACACUUUAACCAGCAGCGGUUGC
rfam:Ricinus communis ctg_1100012316694, whole genome shotgun sequence.